GUUUUUUACAUGUCUUUUUAUAUAGAACACAAAAAGCACAAACUACAAGAGUAUAAUUGAUAAACAGGACUUCUUCAAAAUUAAAAUUUCCUAUUUGAAAGACACCAUUUUAAAAAAUUAAAAUAGGGCCAGGUGCGAUGGCUCACACCUGUAAUCCCAGCACAGAGGUCAGGAGUUUGAGACUAGCCUGGCCAACAUGGUGAAACCCCAUCUCUACUAAAAAUACACACACACACAAAAUUAGCCAGGCAUGGUGACAUGCACCUGUAAUCCCAGCUAUUCGGGAGGCUGAGACAGGAGGACUGCAUGAACCCAGGAGGCAGAGGUUGCAGUGAGCCAAGAUCGCACCAUUGCACUCCAGCCUGGGUGACAGAGCGAGACUCGGUCUCAAAAAUAAAAUAUAAAAUAAAAUAAAAUAAAAAUAGGAGCCACAUACUGUAAUACCCAACCCUAAUAAAAGACUUGUAUCCAGAACAUCUAAAGAAGGCUUAAAACGCAACAAGACAAACAAUGCAAUAAUACAACAAAAACAGAUGAGAGACUUGAGCUGGUAUUUCACCAACACAGAUACAUAAGUGAAGUGUGCAGCAUCAGUCCUCGGGCAACACAAAUUAAAGACACCAUGAGUUACCACUACACAACCAACAGAAUGAAGAUAAAAACACUGAAAAUAACCAUUGUAAGGGAGGAUGAUAGGAAUAUAAAAUGUUACAACAACUAUGGAAAACAGUUUGUGAGAUUUGUUUAAAAGUUAAAUGUAGACUUAACAUAUUAACCAGAACUUCCACUCCAAGAAACUGACCCAGUGAAACAAGCCCACACAGACUUGUAUACAUGAAGGUUCCUAGCAACUUUAUCUGCAAUAGCCAAAGGACCAUCAAUAAACAGCCAAAGGGGAAUCAAUAGGUGAGUGGGUAAAUAGCCAAACAACCAUCAACAGGUGAAUGGAUAAACAGCCAAAUGACCCUCAAUAGGUGAAUGGCUAAGCCACCACAGUGUGGAUGAACCUCAAGACUGUGGCAGUGUGGGGCCAGGUCCCAGCAGCCGUUGUAACAAAUAACCCUCAAUAGGUGAAUGGCUAAGCCACCACAGUGUGGAUGAACCUCAAGACUGUGACAGUGUGGGGCCGGGUCCCAGCAGCCGUUGUAACAAACUUUAGAUGUUUCUGAUGCAUAUUAAAGCCUGAAAACCACUGAUCUAGAAAAUCAGAAUAAUUUAAAUUACAAUUAUUACUGUCUUUGGCCACCCAACAGCUAUUUAUUUUUUUGUUCUGGGAUCUCUCCCCUUGAGUCUUGGUGAGUGGUGAAGAAUGUCUCCUGAUGCAGGGAAUAUUUAAAUGUUUAAAGUGGUGAGUACUUGCCUUCCCGGCCAUGCGGCCAGGAUUCUGCCAGUCUUUGGCUGAGGAGUGAGUGCCACAGCAGGGGUAGGGCAGCUCCCAACCUCUCCCUACCCCUCUAACUGGGUGCAGAAGUAACAUUGGUGUUGGAACAUUGCAGGUGAAUUCUGGGAGCAGAAGUGCUAAUUAAAAUGUCAAGUGCCCGGUGGCAAUCACAGGGAUUCAUCCUCAGACUAGCUUUGAGUUAUGGCUUUCAACUGUCAAGACUGAGUUCUCCCAAAGACACUGGGGGCUUAAACAAUGUCGGCUCAGGAAUGUAGCUCAAAACUGUAGAUCCUCACAGUCCAACAUGGCAGUGAGAGCUCCAUCCAUCACAACCCCAUUCCAGGCAGAAUGUAAGAAAGGUAAAGAUACACAGAUAACUUGUAAGGUGCCCAUGACAACUUCACUAUUAUCUUACUGGAAGCACCUGGACACAUGCCCACAUGUAGGUGCAAGCAAUGUUGGUGAAUGUGGUCUUUAUUCAGGAGGGGCACGUACCCAGAGACAAAAUCAGAGAUAGUAUUUCUGUGGAAAAAGAGGAGAAUAAAUAACAGGGGAGAGACCAGCAAUCUCUCCCUCACAUACUCAAGUCGCCAGUCUUAGAUCUGCACUAACCCUUCCAAAUAAACGACUCUAUCUGAUAGAACUAUAUUUCCGUUAUCAAUGUCACUCACUAAUUCAGAAUACGGUUUAGUCAGCCAGGAUGUCUAGAAAGUCAUAUUUUCAAAAUUAUCUGAAUUAAGCUGUAAUAUUAUUCCACUCCCCACCUUCCAUUUCUCAGAUCCCUUGGCAAAACCUUACCCUGAAUGCUCAUAACUACAGUAAGUAGUCCACUUCUUGUACCGUCUCAGAGAAAUACAGGCACAGAAACACUGGAAUUUCUUUACUUUUUUGCUCAGGGGCUGAGGACAGAACAAGCACAAAAUUUAAGCUGCACUAAUUUCCAACCAACUAUGAGGUGGUCCACAAGGGCCCACAGGAUCAACCGUGACACAGAAUCUUUGACUAAGAGGGCCAGGAGCAUGGGGCCAUGAAACAACUGGCAUCCACCAGGUGGGCGAGAGGUCAGGGCAGCCUAGGAGGCUGUCAGCACCACUGCUACCAGAACAGCUCUCAGAAAGAAAAGACCAGAGUAACAGUGUUUGCCUUUAGGCUGAGCUACUUGGUGUCUGUGCUGCUCACGUUCACAGCCACAGGACCCAUCCCAAUACCCAUAGAGGCAACAUGAAGGUUGGACCCAGAGACUGCUGUGGGCCCUGCCCUGGGCUCUCCACUCAGGGAGUAUCACAGCACCUCACUCCUGGCCAUAAAGGUAAUACUUUCUCUUUUUUUUUUUUGAGACAGAGUCUUGCUCUGUCGCCCAGGCUGGGGUGCAGUGACGCGACGUCAGCUCACUGCAACCUCUGCUUCCUGAGUAGCUGGGAUUACAGGCAUUCACCACCACACCCAGCUAAUUUUGUAUUUUUGGUAGAGACGGGGUUUCACCAUGUUGUCUAGGCUGGUCUUGAACUCCUGACCUCAAGUGAUCUAUCUGCCUGCCUCAGCCUCCCAAAGUGC
rnacentral:lncRNA from 1 species